rnacentral:rRNA from 2 species
UUAAGCGACUAAGCGUACACGGUGGAUGCCCUGGCAGUCAGAGGCGAUGAAGGACGUGCUAAUCUGCGAUAAGCGUCGGUAAGGUGAUAUGAACCGUUAUAACCGGCGAUUUCCGAAUGGGGAAACCCAGUGUGAUUCGUCACACUAUCAUUAACUGAAUCCAUAGGUUAAUGAGGCGAACCGGGGGAACUGAAACAUCUAAGUACCCCGAGGAAAAGAAAUCAACCGAGAUUCCCCCAGUAGCGGCGAGCGAACGGGGAGCAGCCCAGAGCCUGAAUCAGUGUGUGUGUUAGUGGAAGUGUCUGGAAAGGCGCGCGAUACAGGGUGACAGCCCCGUACACAAAAAUGCACAUACUGUGAGCUCGAUGAGUAGGGCGGGACACGUGGUAUCCUGUCUGAAUAUGGGGGGACCAUCCUCCAAGGCUAAAUACUCCUGACUGACCGAUAGUGAACCAGUACCGUGAGGGAAAGGCGAAAAGAACCCCGGCGAGGGGAGUGAAAAAGAACCUGAAACCGUGUACGUACAAGCAGUGGGAGCACGCUUCGGCGUGUGACUGCGUACCUUUUGUAUAAUGGGUCAGCGACUUAUAUUCUGUAGCAAGGUUAACCGAAUAGGGGAGCCGAAGGGAAACCGAGUCUUAACUGGGCGUUAAGUUGCAGGGUAUAGACCCGAAACCCGGUGAUCUAGCCAUGGGCAGGUUGAAGGUUGGGUAACACUAACUGGAGGACCGAACCGACUAAUGUUGAAAAAUUAGCGGAUGACUUGUGGCUGGGGGUGAAAGGCCAAUCAAACCGGGAGAUAGCUGGUUCUCCCCGAAAGCUAUUUAGGUAGCGCCUCGUGAAUUCAUCUCCGGGGGUAGAGCACUGUUUCGGCAAGGGGGUCAUCCCGACUUACCAACCCGAUGCAAACUGCGAAUACCGGAGAAUGUUAUCACGGGAGACACACGGCGGGUGCUAACGUCCGUCGUGAAGAGGGAAACAACCCAGACCGCCAGCUAAGGUCCCAAAGUCAUGGUUAAGUGGGAAACGAUGUGGGAAGGCCCAGACAGCCAGGAUGUUGGCUUAGAAGCAGCCAUCAUUUAAAGAAAGCGUAAUAGCUCACUGGUCGAGUCGGCCUGCGCGGAAGAUGUAACGGGGCUAAACCAUGCACCGAAGCUGCGGCAGCGACACUAUGUGUUGUUGGGUAGGGGAGCGUUCUGUAAGCCUGUGAAGGUGUACUGUGAGGUAUGCUGGAGGUAUCAGAAGUGCGAAUGCUGACAUAAGUAACGAUAAAGCGGGUGAAAAGCCCGCUCGCCGGAAGACCAAGGGUUCCUGUCCAACGUUAAUCGGGGCAGGGUGAGUCGACCCCUAAGGCGAGGCCGAAAGGCGUAGUCGAUGGGAAACAGGUUAAUAUUCCUGUACUUGGUGUUACUGCGAAGGGGGGACGGAGAAGGCUAUGUUGGCCGGGCGACGGUUGUCCCGGUUUAAGCGUGUAGGCUGGUUUUCCAGGCAAAUCCGGAAAAUCAAGGCUGAGGCGUGAUGACGAGGCACUACGGUGCUGAAGCAACAAAUGCCCUGCUUCCAGGAAAAGCCUCUAAGCAUCAGGUAACAUCAAAUCGUACCCCAAACCGACACAGGUGGUCAGGUAGAGAAUACCAAGGCGCUUGAGAGAACUCGGGUGAAGGAACUAGGCAAAAUGGUGCCGUAACUUCGGGAGAAGGCACGCUGAUAUGUAGGUGAAGCGACUUGCUCGUGGAGCUGAAAUCAGUCGAAGAUACCAGCUGGCUGCAACUGUUUAUUAAAAACACAGCACUGUGCAAACACGAAAGUGGACGUAUACGGUGUGACGCCUGCCCGGUGCCGGAAGGUUAAUUGAUGGGGUUAGCGGUAACGCGAAGCUCUUGAUCGAAGCCCCGGUAAACGGCGGCCGUAACUAUAACGGUCCUAAGGUAGCGAAAUUCCUUGUCGGGUAAGUUCCGACCUGCACGAAUGGCGUAAUGAUGGCCAGGCUGUCUCCACCCGAGACUCAGUGAAAUUGAACUCGCUGUGAAGAUGCAGUGUACCCGCGGCAAGACGGAAAGACCCCGUGAACCUUUACUAUAGCUUGACACUGAACAUUGAGCCUUGAUGUGUAGGAUAGGUGGGAGGCUUUGAAGUGUGGACGCCAGUCUGCAUGGAGCCGACCUUGAAAUACCACCCUUUAAUGUUUGAUGUUCUAACGUUGGCCCCUAAUCGGGGUUGCGGACAGUGUCUGGUGGGUAGUUUGACUGGGGCGGUCUCCUCCUAAAGAGUAACGGAGGAGCACGAAGGUUGGCUAAUCCUGGUCGGACAUCAGGAGGUUAGUGCAAUGGCAUAAGCCAGCUUGACUGCGAGCGUGACGGCGCGAGCAGGUGCGAAAGCAGGUCAUAGUGAUCCGGUGGUUCUGAAUGGAAGGGCCAUCGCUCAACGGAUAAAAGGUACUCCGGGGAUAACAGGCUGAUACCGCCCAAGAGUUCAUAUCGACGGCGGUGUUUGGCACCUCGAUGUCGGCUCAUCACAUCCUGGGGCUGAAGUAGGUCCCAAGGGUAUGGCUGUUCGCCAUUUAAAGUGGUACGCGAGCUGGGUUUAGAACGUCGUGAGACAGUUCGGUCCCUAUCUGCCGUGGGCGCUGGAGAACUGAGGGGGGCUGCUCCUAGUACGAGAGGACCGGAGUGGACGCAUCACUGGUGUUCGGGUUGUCAUGCCAAUGGCACUGCCCGGUAGCUAAAUGCGGAAGAGAUAAGUGCUGAAAGCAUCUAAGCACGAAACUUGCCCCGAGAUGAGUUCUCCCUGAC